UUCUUAUUGGAUGAUAACUGUCAUGUGUCUGAUUGGUCAAUGAAAACAACAAUUCAUUUCAUCUUUCAUGGAGUUGACAUUCAAUCAAAACAUGACACGUGACAGUUAUCAUCC
rnacentral:pre_miRNA from 1 species